rnacentral:rRNA from 1 species
CUCAGAUUGAACGCUGGCGGCAGGCCUAACACAUGCAAGUCGAGCGGUAACAGGAGAAAGCUUGCUUUCUUGCUGACGAGCGGCGGACGGGUGAGUAAUAUAUGGGGAUCUGCCCGAUAGAGGGGGAUAACUACUGGAAACGGUGGCUAAUACCGCAUGAUGUCUACGGACCAAAGCAGGGGCUCUUCGGACCUUGCGCUAUCGGAUGAACCCAUAUGGGAUUAGCUAGUAGGUGGGGUAAUGGCUCACCUAGGCGACGUCUCUAGCUGGUCUGAGAGGAUGAUCAGCCACACUGGGACUGAGACACGGCCCAGACUCCUACGGGAGGCAGCAGUGGGGAAUAUUGCACAAUGGGCGC